CAGAAGCUUAUAGUCUCUUAUGGAAACCUGUUGUUGCCAUCGAUGCCCCCCAUACCUUUCACCACUCAGAUCACUCAUGUCAACUCACCCCAUCUUGUCACUGUUGCCAGACGACAUUCGGGAAGAAUCCAUAACCCUGCCAUAGAGUAAAAACCAUGUACAAAAAAUAGAGUCAGACAUUUUGGAAGAUAAUCAGGUUCUUUUUCCCAACAGAAUUGCAGCACACAAAAAGUAAAGUCACGAGGAAACACGACAGAAACAAAAGCAUCCGUUUCAGGGUCCAGCACUGGAACCUCUGACACAGUUUCCGGGUUCUGUAUGUGCGUGUUCCUCUCAGAAAACGUUAUCUGGUUAUAUUAUCCAAAAUCAAGACUUUUCACCUCAAAACUGGCUUGGGUAAUCUUUUCUCUAUUUAUCUUUCUCUUCAUCUACAAAAUAAGACACUUGCAAAAUGCACUUUGAGUCUGUCACCUUCACAGUAUCAUGCUAACAUUCAGCAUUGCACAAAUAUUAUUGAUUUUUGGACAGCCUGCACUCUUCACCAAAUUCUUUCAAAUUUCAUUAAUUCUGUAUCUGCCAACAAUAUACAUUAGUACAUAUAUCUUAAAGUUCAAAUACACUUAAAGGUUCUCAUCAAAGUAACACACCCUGAUAAUUUCCAGAGAAAUCAUGGGUUCCUAUCAAGACGCCAAAUGGUACGGCAUGUUGCAUCCUCCUCCCAAAACUUCAGAAGUCUAAGGAACUAUGCAUUCCCAGAAAUAACAAGAGUGACAACCCUGGGAAAUGACAGAGGCCUGAAGGCUGUCUCUUAAUUGGUGGGUAGCCUGGGGUUAGGGGCAGUGGGUGGCAGCCUUGAGGGGCUCAGUGUGAGGGAAAAUUUUAAGGACCGUUCUUGCCUCUCCCCUGAGUUGCUUGGAAGCGAUCACUUUCCCUUUCUCAGCAGAAACAAGGUAGCAACCACCCAGAUGUAGCUAGGAUAAAAUUAGAGUAGCAUUAGGUUAGCUGAUGAAAGCAGGAAAGGGCUGAACAAUCCUUGAUCCUUCACUCCUCCACUCUUCCGUCUCCCAAGCCCAAGGUGACAACCUCAAAUGCCUCCUCAAAUGCCGCUUUCCCCAAGAGCUCAAAGGUGACAGAUCCUGACCACAGGAGUUGAGUGGUCACAGUGUUUCACGGUUUCUGAGACUGUCUGCGCCUGGGGCCCAUCACCUCCCCUCAUAUUAAACUUACUUAGAAAAACACACCUUAGGUCCCUAGGUCUCAACAAAGGUGACUAUAUAAUACAGCACCCAAGAGAGGACACUUCUGAGAGUGAAAAGGACACACUAUUAAUAAUUAUUCUGAGAUAACAGCCACAGACUGAGAUGGUCCCAAGCAAAACGUUAGCCCUUCUCUAAUACAAGAUGCCAGACAGAGUAGCCAACAGCCACAAGGAAUGAAAGCUCACAAGUCAAAACAAUUACAUACCUGAGGAGUACAACGACUGAAAAAGAAAUACAACAAAGUGAGCAACAUAGACCAUUUGAAGUAGAACUACUGGAACAUACUGGAACAUAAGCAUGACAAAUACACUUAAAGAUACAAGGGAAGAUGUUAGUAGCACGAAGUGACAAUGAGAAACCAUAAGGAAAACCUCAUGAGGAAAUAGGUGUAAAAGUACGAUUGUUAAAGACUUAAGUCAUGGGAUAAAUAGCAGUGUGGAUACAUGAGAACAGCAAAUUAUUUAGACAUGGAAAAUGACAUUGAGAAACUCUCCCAGAAAACACAAUAAAACAAUAAAGUGAGAGAAUAUUUAAAAGAAC
rnacentral:lncRNA from 1 species